rnacentral:misc_RNA from 1 species
GUGAAUCAUCGAAUUUUUGAACGCAAAUUGCACUCUCCUCUGAGAGUAUGCCUGUUUGAGUUUCAGCCUAUAAAAAAUCGACAUCGUUGCUGUUUCUCGGUGUCGUUCGUCGGGAUUUGUGGGAUCUUAGUUCUUUUGGUUUUAAGCGACUUAAAAUUUUCUUUUUUGUUCCAUGAACGUUUCUAAGAUUUAUUUCUUUACACGUUUAAGUUAUCGAUUUUUAUUAGAGGUGACCAUCAGAUCGGAUCGCGCCAAUAUUCUUUCAUUA